rnacentral:rRNA from 1 species
ACGGAGGGUGCAAGCGUUGUCCGGAUUUAUUGGGUUUAAAGGGUGCGCAGGCGGUUUAUUAAGUCAGUGUUAAAAGUCUGCAGCUUAACUGUAGAAGGCGCAUUGAUACUGGUAGACUUGAGUAUUGUAUAGGUAGGCGGAAUUUGUGGUGUAGCGGUGAAAUGCAUAGAUACCACAAGGAACACCGAUUGCGAAGGCAGCUUACCGGGCAAUAACUGACGCUGAGGCACGAAAGCGCGGGGAGCGAACAGG